GCCUGGGUGGCUCAGUCGGUUAAGCAUCUGACUUCAGCUCAGGUCAUGAUCUCGCAGCUGGUGAGUUCAAGCCCCACAUCAGGCU
rnacentral:tRNA from 1 species